UAGGGAAUCUUCGGCAAUGGACGAAAGUCUGACCGAGCAACGCCGCGUGAGUGAAGAAGGUUUUCGGAUCGUAAAACUCUGUUGUUAGAGAAGAACAAGGACGUUAGUAACUGAACGUCCCCUGACGGUAUCUAACCAGAAAGCCACGGCUAACUACGUGCCAGCAGCCGCGGUAAUACGUAGGUGGCAAGCGUUGUCCGGAUUUAUUGGGCGUAAAGCGAGCGCAGGCGGUUUCUUAAGUCUGAUGUGAAAGCCCCCGGCUCAACCGGGGAGGGUCAUUGGAAACUGGGAUACUUGAGUGCAGAGGAGGAGAGUGGAAUUCCAUGUGUAGCGGUGAACUGCGUAGAUAUAUGGAGGAACACCAGUGGCGAAGGCGGCUCUCUGGUCUGUAACUGACGCUGAGGCUCGAAAGCGUGGGGAGCAAACAGG
rnacentral:rRNA from 1 species